GACCUGAGCUCAGACAAGGUUACCCGCUGAACUUAAGCAUAUCAAUAAGCGGAGGAAAAGAAACCAACCAGGAUUCCCCUAGUAACGGCGAGCGAACCGGGAAAAAGCCCAACUUGAAAAUCUCCCUUUGGAGAAUUGUAGUCUACAGAAGUGCCCUCUGUGGCGGGAGGAGUUUCAAGUCCGCUGGAA
rnacentral:rRNA from 1 species